UAAGCAUGUAGAGCCGAUGGCAGAGGGCUUGCGGACGCGGGUUCGAUUCCCGCCGUCUCCACCA
rnacentral:tmRNA from 1 species